UACGGGGGGAGCAAGCGUUGUUCGGAUUUACUGGGCGUAAAGGGCGCGUAGGCGGUCAGUGCAAGUCAGUUGUGAAAUCUCCGGGCUUAACUCGGAAAGGUCAACUGAUACUGCUCGACUAGAGUGCGGAAGGGGCAACUGGAAUUCUUGGUGUAGCGGUGAAAUGCGUAGAUAUCAAGAGGAACACCUGCGGCGAAGGCGGGUUGCUGGGCCGAACACGUGACGCUGAAGCGCGAAAGCUAGGGGAGCGAACGGG
rnacentral:rRNA from 1 species